UAUGAAGAACGUAGCGAAAUGCGAUAAGUAAUGUGAAUUGCAGAAUUCAGUGAAUCAUCGAGUCUUUGAACGCACAUUGCGCCCCCUGGUAUUCCGGGGGGCAUGCCUGUCCGAGCGUCAUUGCUGCCCUCAAGCACGGCUUGUGUGUUGGGCCCCCGUCCCCGGUUUCCCCCGGGGACGGGCCCGAAAGGCAGCGGCGGCACCGCGUCCGGUCCUCGAGCGUAUGGGGCUUUGUCACCCGCUCUGUAGGCCCGGCCGGCGCCAGCCGACACCCAACUUUAUUUCUAAGGUUGACCUCGGAUCAGGUAGGGAUACCCGCUGAACUUAAGCAUAUCAAUAAGCGGAGGA
rnacentral:misc_RNA from 1 species